rnacentral:rRNA from 1 species
GAUGAACGCUGGCGGCGUGCCUAAUACAUGCAAGUCGAGCGAACGGACGAGAAGCUUGCUUCUCUGAUGUUAGCGGCGGACGGGUGAGUAACACGUGGAUAACCUACCUAUAAGACUGGGAUAACUUCGGGAAACCGGAGCUAAUACCGGAUGAUAUUUUGAACCGCAUGGUUCAAAAGUGAAAGACGGUCUUGCUGUCACUUAUAGAUGGAUCCGCGCUGCAUUAGCUAGUUGGUAAGGUAACGGCUUACCAAGGCAACGAUGCAUAGCCGACCUGAGAGGGUGAUCGGCCACACUGGAACUGAGGCACGGUCCAGACUCCUGCGGGAGGCAGCAGUAGGGAAUCUUCCGCAAAGGGCGAAAGCCUGACGGAGCAACGCCGCGUGAGUGAUGAAGGUCUUCGGAUCGUAAAACUCUGUUAUUAGGGAAGAACAUAUGUGUAAGUAACUGUGCACAUCUUGACGGUACCUAAUCAGAAAGCCACGGCUAACUACGUG